rnacentral:misc_RNA from 1 species
GCCUAUCACAAUGUGAUUAUUCCUUUAUCAGUUAUUAGAGAUUCAAGCAGUACAAGUCCACCCAUAACCCUAAUUAAUUAUGAACAAAUAUUAAUGCAAAUAUUUAAAAUAAGAAUCCGGAUGCCUAAACGUACGAGUUACAAUAACAAGAGCAGUAGUUCCUUUAGAAGGAAUUCUCUAAUUUUGAUCACCCAUCAAGGUCUAGCUCUGCAAUCAACUGGUGAUAGCUUGUUGAUUAUCAGAGAUUCUAACAUUCAGCCUUCUGAGCCAAAUUGAAUGAAGAAUCAUAUGAAAAACAUCAUACCGCUUAGGUGGAGAAUUAACCUCAAAAUGCCUCCUUAUUUGUUGUCCUCUUCUCUGCAUUCUAAUGUACUGCCUGGUAGAUAUACUCAUCAAUAUUCUCUUCAAGUUAGGGAUAUCGCUCACCGGAAUCUCGACGGAGAAUGACUUCCAAUUCAAAACAUCGCUAAAAGGCGGUACAUAGUGGUCGGAAAUCAGCACUGGCACACAUCCUGUGUAAAAUGCCUCGACAACUCUCGGGCUUGCAACUUCAUAACCACUUGGGCAAAGGCAGAACUUGCUUUUUCUCAUCAUUUCGUAGUAAGAUACACCUUUCGGGAGGUACUUAUGCACCCUGAUAUCAUCAUCUUUGUCUUCCCAAUGCUCAAGUAGGAUUGGCCUUAUAGGGCCAUGAACCCCUCCAGCAAAGAAGGCUAAGAUUGAUCGUCUUGAUGGAGAUGGUCCACCUAUCAAGCCUCUUGUAGUACCUGUUUGGAGAUUGAUUUCUGGAAAGGAUACAUCCUUCAUGGGAUUGAAUCUUUCUGAUGUGUUCGCGUUGCAUAGCGCACGGAUCGAGUUUUUUUCAAGGUAAGGAAUGGCAAAUGAAGUUUCCGGCCCCCAAUCAUGGCAAGCAAGCAUGAAAUGGUCAGCUCCAACGCUUCGAUUCCAGAAGGGGUAUUUUCCAGCAAUGAGACUGACAUAGUCUCUUACAGUCCUUCUAAUGGGACCAAAAUCAUGCGAAUUGUGCACAUAGACGAACUGAACCAUCAUGGCUACACUGAAGGGAAGGAAAUAGACGUGUGCCUUGUUGGGAUCUUUGGUCCUAAACUGGUCAUCCAUCUCCAUCCUGUGAAUAAAAUUUCCUUCCAUGGAGUAUAUGCUCUUGCAAGGACCAUUGUGAAAAAUCGGUGGUUCUCCUUCUUCAUAGACGAAGACUUUAAACUGUUUCUCCAUUUCUAAGUAACUCCUGUGGAAGACUUUGGAGUUCCAAUACAUAGGGCCCAUUGGAACAUAUUCAGGGUCUCGCGAUUGAUUUCCAAUUUUAGCAUCUUUAAUUGCAGCACGAGCAAUUUGGAGAGCAGCUUCGAGCCUUUCUAAACUGGAAUGCUCUUUUUCAUGUCUGGUUUUGAUCAAAAGAUCCAUGGAAGCAAUAGUAGUUUCGUUCCUUGAAAUUUCCAAGUCUUUUUCUUCUUCACUUGCAUUAUGUUCUUGAACGUCCACAGCCUGAAAAUCUAGAACAGGUGGAGGAGUAGAGGGAGAAGAAGAACUGUUAAGGGCAGAGUAUUCAUCAGCAAGAGCCUUCUUCUCUUCUGCAUAGUGAACUUUCACUUCCAUCCCCACCAUCGCUUCUCUAGGAAGCAAAUCCAGUACUCCACUUCCAUUAUUCUCUUUUGCAUGUGAAGAAGCUGGCGCAGAACUGUCCAAAGAAUCAGCUGCACUAAAUCCCAUCAACAAAGGAUGGCCAGAUAAAAACUUCCAACUGGAGAAUUUUGGUCCCAAAAUAGCAACAAACCCAGAAACCAAAAUCAAUGGCGUCAUAAACAACAAAAGCUUUAUUGAUGAUGAUGAAAACCUCCAUGCGUGCCCUUUUCUAGACCCAUACUUAUAAUUAUCC